rnacentral:rRNA from 1 species
UACGAAGGGGGCUAGCGUUGCUCGGAAUCACUGGGCGUAAAGGGUGCGUAGGCGGGUUUUUAAGUCAGAGGUGAAAUCCUGGAGCUCAACUCCAGAACUGCCUUUGAUACUGGCGAUCUUGAGUCCGGGAGAGGUGAGUGGAACUGCGAGUGUAGAGGUGAAAUUCGUAGAUAUUCGCAAGAACACCAGUGGCGAAGGCGGCUCACUGGCCCGGUACUGACGCUGAGGUGCGAAAGCGUGGGGAGCGAACCGGG